UGGUUAGCUCUCAUACUGAAAAGGUAAACAAACCAUUUCAGUUUGUUUACCACUAGCAAACAGGUGUUUUGUGGGAUUUGUUAUAAUUAAGCUAUUCCAUUGUAUUUUUAUACACUCUUAUAAUAAGCAUCAAUAGCUAUAUUUACUAAUUAGCAACGGUGGUAACCUUACAAAUAACUUUAAUCAAAGUAAUAAGUACGCAAGCCACUUCACCUGUCAUAGGACCGGUCGUACUUGGUUAAUAUGUUAUAGUUUAGUAAUUUGUAUUUUUUUAAAUUAUUUAGUUGAUAGUCCAAACCACAAAUCGCUAGGUAUUAGGUAUUAUUACCCCUAAAAGCUAAAUCUACAUUUAGUUCCUGCUCGCGUAAACCUUUACAAGUCGCUUAAGCAGGAGACACAAACAGCGUUUCAUCUCGAUCUCGAUAUCGGGGUUCGAUGCUGCCGGAACUUAACCCGAAAAUGAGCCAACUUUCAAUCACUGUAACACGGUUACCUUGAGCGACGGUUGCAAUCGCCUUAGCUGUAUCCGACCGGCAGAUCCUCCGGACCAUCUUUGGCGGUGUGCUGGCUUGCUGAGGAUUACAGAGGACUGUUGAUUGCUGUCGUAAUAGGAUACGAUUACUUUAGCUUAUUAACAGCAUGCUGGCCGUAUAUCCCAGCAAGAAAGGUUACCACAAUAUUUCUCAGUGCGACACGACGUUAGCUGGAUGAAGUGUAGCAUAACUUGUCUGCGUUACGAUGCAUACUUCGAUGGUGAGCUGCAGCCAGGAUCCGGAAAAUUUGGCAACCUAUAACAAUGGCAGGACUGUGAAAAGGAAGUGCUGAAUCGAAGGAAAGUGAAAUGCUAGUUCUAUUCUAUCAAUUUAAAAUCCGUAAUUUACAAUUGUUUAUACUAUCACUAAAAGGAAAGUCCUUUUCGGAUCUUUGAUACCUUCUGCACAAGAGCUAUGGCUGCUCAUUUUCCGCGAUGUACCGUCCAAUGCUCAGGCGAACUUUCCUGCGCUGCCGUUACACGUUGUCACCAUACCAAACAACAUGCCGACCUCUAUGCACCCGACGUCACAGCAGAGCUGCUCUGUUGCUAAGGAGUUUACGAAGGACAUACUUGGAGUGUAGGUGUUUAAGGAAGGUAUACACUUGAUUGCCCACCUGUCUGUGAUUGCAACCACCAUGUACCAUCUGCUAUGUACACGUCAUAGCAUAUCUGCUAUGCAGAACACAUUAUAAACCACACUACCAAAUAUAGACUCUUAGCAACACAUUUUAAUAAACUUAGCAAACUAGUUCAGGUCACACCGUUCAUACAAAAACAACCAAAAACACGCAGCACAAGCAAAACAGGCGUUACUGCAAUUGAGUAAGGUAGACCAAGAACGCAUCACAUCGUAUAGCCAAUAGCGCAGCGUAAGGAAAGAUAGACACACUUUAAGCCAAGGCAGAAACAGCAUACGCAUUAUAACACAACACACUCUAAGCGAUAUUUCUGAAGGUCUCCACACACACAAAACUCACACUUUACCACAUACUUUGUACUCCAGCACCCAAAACAACUUAGUCCACAAAAC